rnacentral:rRNA from 1 species
GACGAACGCUGGCGGCGUGCUUAACACAUGCAAGUCGAACGGAAAGGCCCUGCUUUUGUGGGGUGCUCGAGUGGCGAACGGGUGAGUAACACGUGAGUAACCUGCCCUUGACUUUGGGAUAACUUCAGGAAACUGGGGCUAAUACCGGAUAGGAGCUCCUGCUGCAUGGUGGGGGUUGGAAAGUUUCGGCGGUUGGGGAUGGACUCGCGGCUUAUCAGCUUGUUGGUGGGGUAGUGGCUUACCAAGGCUUUGACGGGUAGCCGGCCUGAGAGGGUGACCGGCCAAAUUGGGACGGAGAAACGGCCCAGACCCCUGCGGGGGGGAGGGGGGGGGAAUAUUGAAAAAGGGGCGGAAGCCUGAUGCAGCAACGCCGGGGGCGGGAGGAGGGCCUUCGGGUUGAAAACCGCUUUCGCCUGGGACGAAGGGGGAGGGACGGGAAUGGGAAAAGAAGCACCGGCUAACUACGU